AUACAAAAGAAAUAUCUAAUGUAUUAGUUAACAUGUAAUAUCUAGUAGUUUACCCCAAACCAUGGAUGCUUAAAUAGGAUGUCCUUCAAUUUUGAGAACAUAGAUUAUAUUAACUUUCCCUUCAGAAUUCUUAUUAUUUCUCUACCUCCAAAACACCCAAAGCUAACCAAGUAAGCCCCAUAUGGCCACAUUUCUUUUUCGGCUUUAAAAUAGUUUCAUAUUGCAUUCUUUGAGCAUAUCCUUUACUACCGUUGAAUGCAUUGGGUAAAUUUCAACAUGAACAAAAACGAAAGCCCAAAAUAAUGAGUAAAUGGUGUACACUUUCCUACUACUAAAUAUGCAUAACACAUCCACUAGCCAAAAUGAAAUAUCCGUUCUUUAAAUUAUCAAAAGUAAAAAAACAUGAUCAAGCGAAGCACACCAAGAAAAGAAUGUCUUUAUCUUCCACAUUUUCCCCCAAGGGAAAAUUGCGCCCAUCUCCUUUGCACAUGAAGAUUAUCAUUAGUAAU
rnacentral:misc_RNA from 1 species